UGGGGAAUAUUGCACAAUGGAGGGAACUCUGAUGCUGCGACGCCGCGUGAGUGAUGAAGGAAUUCGUUUCGUAAAACUCUGUUCUAUGGGAAGAAAAGGACUGUACCAUAGGAGAAAGCUCCGGCUAAAUACGUGCCAGCAGCCGCGGUAAUACGUAUGGAGCGAGCGUUGUCCGGAAUUAUUGGGCGUAAAGGGUGCGCAGGCGGCUUUACAAGUUGGAUGUGAAAUAUUGUGGCUCAACCACAAACGUGCAUCCAAAACUGCAAAGCUUGAGUUAAGGAGAGGUAAGUGGAAUUCCGGGUGUAGCGGUGGAAUGCGUAGAUAUCAGGAGGAAUACCGGUGGCGAAGGCGACUUACUGGACUUAAACUGACGCUCAGGCACGAAAGCGUGGGGAGCAAACAGG
rnacentral:rRNA from 1 species